UACGUAGGGGGCAAGCGUUGUCCGGAAUUAUUGGGCGUAAAGAGCGCGUAGGCGGUCCGGUAAGUCGGUUGUGAAAGUCGGGGGCUCAACCCUCGGAUGCCGAUCGAUACUGUCGGGCUAGAGUCCGGAAGAGGCGAGUGGAAUUCCUGGUGUAGCGGUGAAAUGCGCAGAUAUCAGGAGGAACACCGAUUGCGAAGGCAGCUCGCUGGGACGUGACUGACGCUGAGACGCGAAAGCGUGGGGAGCAAACAGG
rnacentral:rRNA from 1 species